CCCCCUCUUAGGCGUCUCGUCCUGCGCUCUGUCUACUAUAAAAUGAGAGUCCGAUCUCAUCUAUAGGACCACAAGCGGCAAGACAUUCUACGACCACCGGCCAGCGGCGGCGCGGCGGCAAGGGCGGCAAUACAGGACCACCGGCCACCGUCGGCGCGGCAGCAAGACAAGACCACCGGCGGGGCAAGACAAGAGCAGAGGGACGCAGAUCUCCCUCAGAGACUCCACAUCCAUCCAUCCAUGGGGGCGGUGUUCUCCCAAUCCCAAGGCAACGGCGUCGACAUAGAAGGAGGCCCGACCAGCGUAGGCCACAUGCGUCUGUCACUGCUACCGUUUGCUCCGCCACCGGAUGUAGCGCAGCUAGCGUACGCGCUGUUGGUGCUGGGCUACCUCACGUUUCUCCUGGCCCUGACCACCGUGCUCCACCUGCCGGCCGCAGCCCGCGGGGCCGGUCUUUGGCCGCUGCGCUGCGGCCUACUACGCGAUUCUGAUGAUCAUCUUAGCCGUCUUUGUGCCGGUGGAGCUGGGGACCGCGCUCGCGCUCUGCCUCGCGCGCCAAAGCAGCCAGGGCCGCCUCCCCGCCUUCGCCAAGGGCCUCCUGCUCUGCGCCCACGUGCUCUUCCUCGUUGUCAUCGCCAUAAUGGGUACUCGGUUCAUCACCUUUAAGAUCUGAUCUUACCUACUCCAGGGUUAGUCGAUUGGUCCGGUCGAUCCGCGGUUCAUUUGUAUUCUGUCAAAUUUCGUCGGUGAUGUCGGUGGUUAUAUGCUUACUUGUUUAUUCUAGGCACAUAUGCUGUAGAUAUUCUGUUUCUAGAUACUUUGGAAGAGAUGUUGUGUUUGUUAGAGUUGUGUCGAAUAUUAUUGUACAAGUUAGGUUACAGUUGGACUUGAAGUCGUACUGUGUGUAGACAGGGUAGGAGUUGUGUCCUAAUAGGACACUUGUAUCCUAGGCCUCUCAUAUAUAGUGGGGUAGACAUACGAUGUAACCUAUGCAAACAUAAUAGCACGGGCACGCGGGGAGCCGGCGGCGUGUGCCAGCGCCCGGGCGGCCGAGGUGCGGUAUUGUGACAGUGUCAUGGGAAGGAGCGCCCGUAGUCAUGCCCCGGGGAUGUAGCCAUAUCGGUGAACCUCGUUAACAAAUCUCGGUGUCGUGCCUCGUGUGAUUGCUUGGUCCUCGGUAGAUCGACAGAGUGCCUCAGAUUAUUCUAACAAGUGGUAUCAUGAGCAAGGUUACGAUGAGGUUGCGGAUUCGUUGAUUUAGAGGAUGGAUCGUGGUCGAGCUCGGCGCAAAGACGAUCUCCGGAAGUGAUUGUUCUGUGGAGGUCGUACGGUGCGCUGUCAACGAGAUCGGGUAGAAGCAAUCGGGAAUCGAGCGGAGCCUACGGCGUGAGCCAUUGAUGAGGUGUAUCGAUCAGGCGAGCGUAUGGAUGGCGGAAUCGUGCAACAGCAGCAUAGAUCGAUUCGAUCGAUUGGAAGCGGCGCCGGUGUAACGUGGAACGCUUGCGCUGUCCAGGAGUGGCUCGGACUGGAAACCUAUAGCGUGUGUUGGGUUGUGGCCCAUGAAGACGUGGCCCGCUAGGUGGCUUGCAGGCGUUCAAUGGCCCAUUGGGGUGCACAUUGGUGGUGCUGUGUUUUGCUCAGAGCGGGCGUAUAGGUCUACGAACGAGCGCCAAAGUGACUGAGGCUGAGGUGCAUUGAAGCCAGGAAAGAGCAGCCGUGAGAUUUGUUGGAUAAAAAAAAGGCGUCAGAGAAUACCAUGAUGCGUGCAUUGAUGAAGAGCAGGAAAGAUAAAUCAAGUCUACGGUAGCCAGGUGUGGUGGACGUGGAAUUCUUUACACGGAGAAGGCUACAAGGGAUGUUGUUUUGACUUUCUUUGCUUUGUACAUGGGUUGUACGAGAUGGCAGCAUGAAGGUGUGUCAAGACGUGGCGUCGCAUGUUCAUAUAAGAUCAACAGGAGUUGGCGGG